rnacentral:rRNA from 1 species
CGCCACGCCCGCUCAGAAACUUAAAGAAUUGACGGGGCCCGCACAAGCAGCGGAGCAUGUGGUUUAAUUCGAAGCAACGCGAAGAACCUUACCAAGACUUGACAUCCCCUGACAGCUGUUGAAAGGCAGUGUCUCUUCGGAGCAGGGAGACAGGUGGCGCAUGGUUGUCGUCAGCUCGUGUCGUGAGAUGUUGGGUUAAGUCCCGCAACGAGCGCAACCCUUAUCCUUAGUUACCAGCACGUAAAGGUGGGGACUCUAGGGAGACCGCCGGGGACGACUCGGAGGAAGGUGGGGACGACGUCAAAUCAUCAUGCCCCUUAUGUCUUGGGCUACACACGUGCUACAAUGGCCGCAACAGAGGGAAGCGAGAGCGCAAGUUGGAGCAAAACCCUAAAAAGCGGUCCCAGUUCGGAUUGUGGGCUGCAACCCGCCCACAUGAAGUCGGAGUUGCUAGUAAUCGCGAAUCAGCAUGUCGCGGUGAAUGCGUUCCCGGGCCUU